UUCAUAAAUGCAUGCUAUUGGUCACCCUUUAUGUCUGUGGUUUUUACAAAUAUUUAAAUAUCAGUGAUGUGGCAAUUUUGUCUGACUUUGUCAAAGGUAAAUAGCUCAAUAAAAUGUUUUCAAAUUACUUGUUUUUCAUUUCCUGAAAAACAACAGUCUUGGACAUUU